rnacentral:lncRNA from 12 species
CUUAUACCCAGGUAUAAAUUGAUUUUCUAAUUUACCAGUUUCAUUGACUUAAUCUGACCUCUAGGUGGCAGCAGCUCUAAUCUCUCCAAAGAGAAGAAAAGAGCUGUAUGUUGAGAGAGAGAGAGAGAGAGAGAGAGAUUAACAUCACUGAACCUCAGUUCUUGACCAGGUAAAAGUAGAGGCCAACAUUCCAUGUCACGGCUACAGAGGCGUGAAAUGAACACCGUCUAGGGAAUACGGAGGGACAGACAACACGUGUUUAGUGUCACGUAUUUGUCACCUACUCAUUACAACUCACUCAGAAUUAAUUGGGAUUUUGAGGUUGUUGUCCUGGGCUUGAACUUAAUAUUUUCUUCAUACCUGUUAUUUAAUUCCGCAGAAGAUACUGCUGCUUCUGCCAGAAGUUCAGCAGAUGAGUGAGAGAGAACAAAGACUGGCUGGAGCUCCAGUUCUGCUAUGUCAUUGCUAUGUGACCCUUCUGAGCUCCCAUUUCCUUGAUGGAGCUGACACUGAUUGGACCAUGGAGGUCCAUGAGGAUGAAAUAGGAACUUACAGGAAAUUCACAUCAGAGAAGGGAAGAGAGUAUUCUGCAGGAAGUCAAAGCACAUUGAAGUGACCAAGAUGAUAUCUUAGAGUCAUGUACUGAUAUGUAAGGGUAUGAAUCUUAAUACUAAUUAAUAAGAUCCAACAGUAUCAACUCCUGGCUUAUGUUAAAAUAGGCAAAAGAUGAGAACCACAGAGAAGUACUCAUUGUGAACUUGAAAAUAAGAAAUAUGUGAUCACCCUGUCUUGUAUAAAACCACAAAUCAAUUCAUAAUGGAUUAGAGUAGAUAUAUAAAAGUCAUCAAAAAAUCUAGAGUGAGUCCAGGCCCUCAAGACUAGACAGCAACCUGAUAUGAACUCAUAUCAGACCUAAAAAAAUGGCUCAUUGGAAGCAGGGGUGGCCUAUCAUGGAAUCAAAGAGAAGGAAAUCAACAUUUAGAACAAAUACUAACAAGAGUGGGUUGGAGACCAUAGAAUUUGAGUGGCACACAUACAUUUGGCUCUAUAAUAUCCCAGAAUCAUCAGUUGAGAGAGGUAUAAACUGAGAAGACCUAUAUAUAAAUUGAUCCAUGGUUGGGAUUUAGCUGGGCAGGUGAAAUAGAAGGACCAGUGAGCAAGAACAUUAAUAAAGUGACCAAAGUGAUACA